rnacentral:rRNA from 1 species
UCUUAAUCCAACAUCGAGGUCGCAAUCUGUUUCGUCGAUAUGAGCUCUCAAAAACAAUUACGCUGUUAUCCCUAAGGUAACUUAAUCUUAUGAUCAUAAAUUAUGGAUCAUUUAAACAUAAAUUAAUGAUUUAAUAAUGAAGAGUUUAUUUAUUCUUCAUGUCACCCCAACAAAACAUCAACAAUUAAUAUAAAAAGAUAAUAAAAAAAAUAUUAAAUUAAAAUGUAAAGCUCUAUAGGGUCUUCUCGUCCUAAAGAAAAAUUUAAGCCUUUUAACUUAAAAGUUAAAUUAUAAAAUUUAUUAAGAGACAGUUAAUUUCUCGUCAAACCAUUCAUUCCAGCCUCUAAUUAAGAAACUAAUGAUUAUGCUACCUUUGCACGGU